CCUCAUUUCUCACACCCAUACAGUUACUUCCCACAAAACAGAAGUGAAGUCCUGUGUAAUCAUUGAACGCAGGGCGCCCUGCGGGGAGCAAACAGUGCUCCUGGACCCACCCCAAGCACACCUCACUGAGCCCCUCUCGGGGCCAUUCCUGACUGCCAUCGAGGUGUCUGAGAGGUGCUCCAUUGUGGACGUGGUGUUCCGCCAUGAGAACUCACUGCACAGAUGUCCUUGCCGCUGCACACAUGGGACAUCCCACAGAACCUCACUGGUGACAGCCCAGGGCGUGGACAAUGCAAAUGGCUACUAAGAAGGAGCUGAAUGAAUACAUCGUGAGAAGUCCCUUUCGACAGACGUUCCUCUACCGCCAUGAAAGGAGGAAAAAUGGUCCCAGCCCUAGGACACAGUUGAGGCACAGAGGGAGGAAAUGACCUGCCCAAGGCCACACAGCAAGGAAGCGAUGCCUGAAUGAACAGCAUGAAGACAGACGGGCCUGUGGCAGAGUUUCCAGGGCCAGGAGUUAAUUCCUCUUGCAGACAGACACCCAUGUGGGCACCCUCCGCCCCACUGGCACCCUGCUGAGGAAUGCCUGACCUGCUUUCUCUCCUUUGGGAGGACUCCAGGAAUGUCGUCCUUUGGGCCCCGGAAGGAGGAACGAAGGAAUCGGAGGCUGUCCCAUCCCCGUUUGAUAAUGAGAACAUGCUAAAACUCAGUGUGGGGAUGGCGGCAGAACUCUCGCUACUGAAAGCCACUGAUGGAACUGUACCCUGGAGACGGGGAUCGUAUGGUACGGGAAUGAGAUCUCAAAAAAGCUGUUUUUUUAAACAACAACAACAAAAGACUUGGGUGGGUGGGUUACUCUCAAGGCUGAGGAUUCAGGCGUCAGUGUUGGCUGAGACCCUGCCUCACUGCAUGGCCAUGGGCAUCUCAUCUCCCAGAGCCUCAGCUUCCUUAUCUGUAAAAUGGGCACAUCAAUGGUGACCCAUCUGCUACGGCUGAGGGAAGAGAAGAUGAAGGAGACGCUUGCAGCUGGAGCCUGCCAUACAAGGGCUUCAUAGACAUGAGUCACUCGACGUUAGACUCUGGAUGUGCCUCUUCCUACCCGCUUCUCCCUUGAACUGCAGAAGCCGCAAGAACGCCCGUUCCAGGAAUGAGGCAAUUCCUUGAAAUCUGAAAAGACCACGGCGCAGGCUUUCCUGGCUUGGGAACGGAACAAAAGCCUUCACUGUUGUCCCAGCUCCGGAUCCUAAACUCAUGCCAGCCUUGUAUUCCCCAGAUCCAGAGGCCCUCGUCCAUCAUUUCUAGUUUCGAGAUACCAAAUGACCUCAGCGAUGUGCAAGGGGAUCCUCACCACCACGGCCACUGGGGGCCCUCGAAUGCAGGCCCCCCGCCCCCAUCCCCACUGCUCCUGCUAGCUUUGGGGACCUCAGAGAAGGCAAAGAGAAGCUGGCACUGACCCUGCAAAAUAAUCCAGCGCGGGUGGGAUGGGGUAGUGGGGGGACCCCACAAAGAAGCGAGUGUGCGAGGAGCCCGUCUAUGUACAAUGGCCCCUCAGAAACCUGUCCCCGGGGAAAACAGAGGAUCUCUAUUGGCAUGGCCUAAGAAAGAAAUGUCUGUAUUCUUUUAGGACCUGCCCCCACAGGCUCCAGGCCAAGAAUGCGCAGCACAGCAUCUUAUUAGGUUUCUAAAAUUAUGCCUAGGUUGGGGGGUUGGCCAGGCCAAGGAGCGGGAAAGGAUGUGGUGGGCGGGCAGGCAGGCAGGAAAUCUUUAAUCCGGCUCUUUGCGCACUCUGGGCAGCGGGAAGGGAGUGCCGCUCCAGCAGAUGUCAGGUCGGCCCUGAGAAUCAAAAGCCCUUCUGUGCACAGCCUGGGCGCUCAACUGUGUUUAAACAUUGCUACAGUGCCUUCCCAGAUUGCCCAAGUUUCCCUUGGAUGGAGGGAGUUGGGGGCAGUGGGAUGGUGUCCUUGGGCAGCACAAUUUAAGGAGCAAAUGAAAGAAAGCAGCUCCUGGUGGUUAAAAUCUAGGCAUAGGAACAAGGUUGCUGGAUAGGGUUGUGCAGGCUGUGCACUGCACAACUGCAAAGGGUUGUAUUUUCAAAUAUGGAGCAGCACUGUGUGCAACCUGUACAACCAUUCAAGGUGGCCCAUGAUGUACCAGAAGGAGGAACAGCUGGCUCAUGAGGCCAGGGUCUCACUCUUGGGUAGAGUUGGGAGGAUGUGAAUUGGUGGGCAGUUUGUAUGUGGGGACAGACCAAUGCCUCAUCACAAAUGACAAUGCAGACUGAAAUACUUUGACACCCCUCCCUACCCAGUACACACAAGUAACUAAAUCUAAGGGGGAGGAGGAGGAAGGAAAAGCCAAGGGGGUAGGAGCUGUCCUACAUCCCAGAUAUAGUUAACAGAAAACAACAGAACUGUCAGUUAA